GACCUACGGGAGGCAGCAGUGGGGAAUAUUGCACAAUGGGGGAAACCCUGAUGCAGCGACGCCGCGUGAGUGAAGAAGUAAUUCGUUAUGUAAAGCUCUAUCAGCAGGGAAGAAAAUGACGGUACCUGAGUAAGGAGCCCCGGCUAACUACGCGCCAGCAGCCGCGGUAAUACGUAGGGGGCAAGCGUUAUCCGGAUUUACUGGGUGUAAGGGGAGCGUAGACGGCAGUGCAAGUCUGAAGUGAAAGGCGGGGGCCCAACCCCCGGACUGCUUUGGAAACUGUGCUGCUGGAGUGCAGGAGAGGC
rnacentral:rRNA from 1 species